rnacentral:rRNA from 1 species
GAGCAGCCAUGCCGCGUGCAGGAUGACUGCCCUAUGGGUUGUAAACUGCUUUUAUCCGGGAAUAAACCUACUUACGUGUAAGUAGCUGAAUGUACCGGAAGAAUAAGGAUCGGCUAACUCCGUGCCAGCAGCCGCGGUAAUACGGAGGAUCCAAGCGUUAUCCGGAUUUAUUGGGUUUAAAGGGUGCGUAGGCGGCCUGUUAAGUCAGGGGUGAAAGACGGUAGCUCAACUAUCGCAGUGCCCUUGAUACUGAUGGGCUUGAAUGGACUAGAGGUAGGCGGAAUGAGACAAGUAGCGGUGAAAUGCAUAGAUAUGUCUCAGAACACCGAUUGCGAAGGCAGCUUACUAUGGUCUUAUUGACGCUGAGGCACGAAAGCGUGGGGAUCAAACAGGAUUAGAUACCCUGGUAGUCCACGCCCUAAACGAUGAACACUCGCUGUUGGCGGUACACAGUCAGCGGCUAAGCGAAAGCGUUAAGUGUUCCACCUGGGGAGUACGCCCGCAAGGGUGAAACUCAAAGGAAUUGACGGGGGCCCGCACAAGCGGAGGAGCAUGUGGUUUAAUUCGAUGAUACGCGAGGAACCUUACCCGGGCUUGAAAGUUAGUGAAUGAUCUAGAGAUAGAUCAGUGAGCAAUCACACGAAACUAGGUGCUGCAUGGCUGUCGUCAGCUCGUGCCGUGAGGUGUUGGGUUAAGUCCCGCAACGAGCGCAACCCCUAUGUUUAGUUGCCAGCACGUCAUGAUGGGGACUCUAAACAGACUGCCUGUGCAAACAGA